rnacentral:tRNA from 1 species
GGGGAUGUAGCUCAGUUGGUAGAGUGCUUGCCUUUCAUUCACAAGGCCCUGGGUUUAAUCUCCAGCACCCCUC